rnacentral:lncRNA from 1 species
CUUGAAGAAGGUUCAUGCAAAGACACCAAGUAGCACGGUAUUGUGUGUUUCUAUAGCCCACUGCCUGGGCUCAAGCGUCAGCUUCCAAAUGAGACCCAAUCUGGCUGUGUAACUUACUGGCAGCAUUGCCUUUGGGCCAAUGGUCUUGGACAAUGAGCUUGGGCAGUGUUCCAAAGUUGAACUCUUCUGUGACAAUGCUGCUGCCACCUCAGGUAAGUUAAGUGGAAGAAGGAGGAAAGCAAUUCCAUCUUCAGUGACCUGAGUAAAGCCGUCUUCCUUAGCCACAUGUGGAGAAUUGUUCUCAUUAUGACGAUUUGAAUGUCAUAAAUCUUUGUGCUUCGACAGUGACAUAGAGUAAAGCCUCAUUAAUUAAGGCCUCACUGAUUCAGAAUUUAAGAUAAUGUCUUCAUAGGCCAAGCUGAAAUUUACAUUUGCACUAUCUAUGAAAAAAGAGUUCAUUAAGUAAAUCAAUAAAGUAAGGAAGAUUGCAGGAAGUCUGUUUAAUCUAAUUAAGAAAACAAACUAUUUUCAAGCACUUUGUAAUACCAUCGACAUAUAAACAAUGUGCUCAUUACAAAUGACUAUUAUGGGAUCAUUAAAGCAUUUUAAGGAAAAUUCCUGUUUGAC